AUCAUCCUCCGUCGUCCGCUACGUCACGAGCAACUGUGACGUUAGCGGUGCUUCAGGAGGAUAGACUGGGUGACAACAUCGCUCAGUUGCUUGGUAGGCUAUUGCCAUUGCAGGCUUCCCUUCCACUGCUAUUUCCUUGCCCAUGUUUAAAGAUGCAGUAAUUGACUUGACACUCCGAGGCAGCAGAACAAGCUGGAAACACGAUCCUGACACAUGAUACACAAUAAUGCUUCUGUAACUCUGUAUUCCUGUUGUAUGUUUGAGCAGCCUGACCUUGACGCUUCCUUGAGGAGACAGCAGCAGUGUCUGGGAAGCUUCCCAGUUUGCCAUCGACCACUACAAAUGGACUUGAAAACCUUCCUCACAUAAAGCUGCUGCUGAUCCAGACGCACCGCAACAUCUUGUUUGGCUUCAGCUGUAGAGAGACAACAGACAGACUUCUCGCUGGCGAGUUUGUGCAAAUCUGGCUUGCUGAAGGAUUGGAACAGAAGCUGGCAAGGGGAGACAAACCUCAUACACUUCCUGCUUCCUCUGAGCUGUCAUGGAGGCACCAGUGGGGUUUCCUCCGUUGGGGAUGGUGUAGAGGAUUUUGG